rnacentral:rRNA from 1 species
UACGUAGGCAGCAAGCGUUUGUUCGGAGUUACUGGGCGUAAAGGGUGCGUAGGCGGCCCUGUAAGUAUGGUGUGAAAUCUCCCGGCUUAACUGGGAGGGUGCGCUAUAGACUGCGGGGCUCGAGUGUGGGAGAGGAAAGUUGGAAUUCCUGGUGUAGCGGUGAAAUGCGUAGAUAUCGAGGAGAACGCGGUAGGUGUUCGAACCGCUUCUGGACGCA